ACUUUUAGGAACAGUGCAAAUGUUGAACGUUAUAAUUUGCGGUUACAUGAACUGGUACAUUGCCCUGCAUUUUAUGACAGAUUUGAAUUGCGUGCCUCUGUUUGAAACUCCAAGGUACUUAACAAGAAAGGAUAAUUGGAUAAUUUGGAUAUUUUCGACGAGGUAAGAAGCUAUAUCUGUAAACGUACUAUCUUUAAAUUACUUAUUAAAUUUAAAUAUCAUGCCAUAAACAUCCAAUCAACACAUAACCAAAGCACCUGUUUAUUUAAUUGCAGGAUCCGACCGUGUGAAUGUCUUGAGAAGAGAAAGGGAGUAACUUUAGCCUAAUUUAGCAAGCUAACGAUAGCUGGAGGACUCAUUUUCACAUCACACACAGAUACACCUUUUCAUUUGCAACUCCGGUGCUUCUAAAAAUAACAUUUUAAGAUCGAGUGAGACCUUUGUUAUUUUUACGUUAUUGCAGUUGGUUUAUAUAGAAAUUGACUAGAGUUACGAUCAGAUUUUAUGCUUGGUAACGUUACCUAAAGUGGCAGAGCUUUUAAUCUUUUUUGUGAGUAAGGAGUAACUGCUAUUAUAAUGAAAAUUCUUUACAAUUCAUUUUUGACCAAUAGAUGUCUGCCACCACUGCUAAUCUUGAAAAGAUGGGUAACCUGCCUGUGACUCCUCAUUUGAUUCUGCCUGGUUCAGAUGAUACUUUGGGCCAGUGGAUAAAACAAUGGAUGAUCAGCAUGGAAGGCAGAGUAAUCUGUGAGGGUGAGCAUGCACACUGGAAUUCCUUCAAAGAUGCUUUGCUGGCAUAAAUCCAGAGAGGGGAACCAAGGCUGUGAGAGGAAAUGUGACAUCAAAAAAAACUGGCAAGACAGUUCAGAAGAAGACCAUGACUGUAAACCCCAAGGUUUCAAACCUUUUAAAGAAACUAAUGGACUUUGAAUGGGACUUUAUUUAAAAUGCAGCUAGCUUGCACCCCCCUACUUUUGCAACACAGAGGCCUUUUUUUCUUUAUUUGCUGAAGCUCAUUUUGGGGCUAUAUAUUUUUAUAUUUUAUAUCCAAGACUAAAUUGUAAAGUGGCUAUUAAUUAAUUUUUUCUAUGACAUUCGGUAAGUUGCUUCUUGUUGUACAAGGCUGAAAACAAUCUUAACAUUUCUGGAGAACUUACAAUUUUUGCCUGUUCUUUGGCUUAAUAUUUUCACAAACACAAUGCAGAUUUUAUUUUGUGUUGUUUGAAAAUAAAAAUGUGAAAUAUAACUUGGA